rnacentral:rRNA from 1 species
UGCAGUCGAACGCUUGCUUUCCUCCCGAGUGCUUGCACUCAAUUGGAAAGAGGAGUGGCGGACGGGUGAGUAACACGUGGGUAACCUACCCAUCAGAGGGGGAUAACACUUGGAAACAGGUGCUAAUACCGCAUAACAGUUUAUGCCGCAUGGCAUAAGAGUGAAAGGCGCUUUCGGGUGUCGCUGAUGGAUGGACCCGCGGUGCAUUAGCUAGUUGGUGAGGUAACGGCUCACCAAGGCCACGAUGCAUAGCCGACCUGAGAGGGUGAUCGGCCACACUGGGACUGAGACACGGCCCAGACUCCUACGGGAGGCAGCAGUAGGGAAUCUUCGGCAAUGGACGAAAGUCUGACCGAGCA